rnacentral:lncRNA from 1 species
AAGCAAUAACAGAACCAAAAGCAUCCUUUACUGUUUGGAACUUUUCAUAUGGUCUAACUAGUCUCUCAUUUGCAAGAUAUGUAUAGCCACGAACAAGAACUGCAACGUAUUGCACUCCAAGCAUGUCUCCUCCAACCACAUAUGUUUUCUCUUUACUCACUAAAGUUCCUUUGGCCACCGACUUGUCUUUGUUUCUCGAGUUCAUUGAAUACAACACGACUUCAGUUUUAUCCUAUUUUUCAAGAAAUGAAACAGAUAUUAUUGAUGAACCUGAGAAGAUUUCAUUUUAUGCAAAUAAGAAAAAUUUCACAAAUAUUUAUACCAACUAUCUAUUAUAAAAUCAUUGUCAUCUGGAUUACAAGCCUAUAUGUACCUGCUUAGUGACUUGGUGAUGACCACAUGACUUGGUUGCAUUGCUAUUUUCAGCACUAGCAUUCUGCAAUUAAAUAGGAAUACAUGUGAAGGGAGACACACGAUCAGCUAUAAUCAAGAAUGAUUUUUUUGGAGAGUUCUUAUACAUGCACAUACACAGGCGGAGCUCUCGGUAGGGCGAGGUUGGGCGCUCGCCCUACCUUGAUUUCCUGCUAAACGCCAUACAUACGUAUAUACGUAUAGGUCAGAUGGAUCGCUAAUUUUUUAAGGGAAUUAAGUCGCAUCGCAAGAAAGGAAAAAUGGUGAAGGCCUUUGGUCUAUCUGUUGUUGGCGAGACAGCUAGCAAGGGCUCACGCACAAUCCAGUGGUUGCAUUUGUUCGUUGGUCUACAGUCACAUUCGACUACACUAUGUCAUACAUUCCGAACCCUACAGUAGCUAGCGGCGUUCAACGUCCGCAGGUCAACAUGCGCGACACUCGCCCUGGCGCUAGCUGCUAGCACCAGCAGGCAACAGCAGCGACCACAGCCAAUCAGACGACGGCGGACAACAACGGGCAAGAUUUGGCGCAUGAUGCUACGGUGUUCUCGACUUGUGAGUAAAAAUGGAUAGACAACUUCCAUUGCCAAGUUUUCUAUAUCACAUUAGCUUGAUUAUGGAUAUUUUUGUAGGUUGUUUCUAUCAAAAUAUGUUCCAAUAUUCAUUAUAUUGGGUUAUUGUUUCUAGGAUCAAAUAAAAGGAUUUGUGCAUUGAUAGUUGUAAGGGCUAUUUUUACCGGGCAUGAAAUUUUGUUAUGUGCUUCAUAAUCCGCCCCACCUCAAAAAACAUUCGUCCUCCGCCACUGUGCACAUAGUAUGGAGCCUUAUUAUACACGUAUUUUUGGUUUGCACACUUUGCUAUCAAAUUAGAUGAAUGUCUUAUUAAAAUAUUAUUUAUUGUGAAAACUAAGCAUGACUACAACAUGCAAACCAUUGAAGUUCACGUCAUGUAAGUUUAUACAGUAAAAACAGAAUUCACCUAAUAUUCAAGGGCAAGGUCUUCCUCAACAUCUAUGGAAGGUUUCCUCAAAAAGAACUUUUAUGCAAGGUUCGUGUUUUAGUACUACCCAUGCCAAUUCAAAAGUGAUUAAUUAGUUUCUUUGAAGAUGAUAUGUGUGUGACUAACUUGUGGUUCCAUCUGGCAAAAUCGUGUUACUGUUGUAUGCAAUAGAUUUUUUAAUACUUCGUUGAACUUGAGUUAUGAUUUGCUAGUUGUGUCGAGAUAGUAUUGGAAACGACCUUGUCAAAAUAUAAUUGUUGUUUAAUAAUAAUGUCAUUUACCUUACACUUACAUACAAAAUUAGACAACGUAUUGUAGAAUCAAUGCCAUUUAGAUAUGUAGCAUAUGUUUACCUGCUUAGUGACUUGGUGAGGUCGUAAACUUUGUUCACGACCACUUUCUGCACUCCAAGAUUAUGCUCAGCAUGGGCAUUCUGCAAUUUAAUAGGAAAAGGUGUCGUCAUCAUCAUUGAUGAAAAUCUGGGUAAGUCCUUGCACGUAGGUUCAGAUUACUAAAAGGGUAUAUAGGAACCCAAUCACGUUAUAGUUGCUAACCCGAAGGUUAAUAUUUCACAAUUUUAACUUGAUGACAAGAUAUCUUUUCAAUAUUUGACUAGUAUAAGGGUUCAACCAAUCCCAAAAUUGCUGGCAGGUCAUAAUUGAUAAAUGAGUACAGGUUAGUUGACACACCUUAGCGAUCAUAUGUUCAUGUGGUAAAUGUGCAUUACUAAAAACCUCUUUUGAUUUCGUCCGCUGCAGCUCCUGUUAAAGCAAUAGUUUUAAGACAUUAGCAUGGACAUGCAUUAAAUAGUUACAUGAAAAUCCCAUUACAUUACCAGCAUGGUAGUUCGUGGCUCUUGCACAUCAUCAUUUGAUUCUUGAAGUACAUUAUAAGAUUCACAUUGGAGAUUGUUACCUCUUUCAGGUAAAGUGACCUACAAUAAAAUUAUUGUAAUAGCAGAUCAGUGUUCCUUAAUUUCAUCUUUGCACAAAUAUAACUGGGUUUCAUAUGCUAACAUGAUAACUUUCGCUUGUAGAAUCCAGUUCAUUUCUCAAGCUCUCUUUAGGAAACUUUUUAGCAAGGAAUGCAGCUAUCAUAGCCAUCUGACCUUUGACGUCCUUUACAUCAUCUUUGACAUCAUCUACAUUAUCUUUGACCGUGCGUACUUCAAACUGAAGAUUUUCUUGAUCAGAUUUCCUAACAAAAGUUAUUGCCUGAGAAACAUUUACGCCGCUCCAAUACUUUUCAUCAUAGUAACCUCGAAGUUUCGCCUUUUUAGCAAGUGCACCAUUAAAGGCUUCACUAUAAUCGUCAGUGGAAAGGCUACCAUUGUGAUCCAUUUUCCUUUUCUUAACUCCUCAUUAGCUGCAUCCUAUUGAAUACGACUAGUUAUUAAUUUGUUAUUAUACUAUGGAAUAUAUGGUAUGUUGUAGACUGUACCAUUAUUGUCUUGACAUUGUCGCUCGUGUAGUUGCCAUCUUUUUUCUUAUGAGCUUCAUCCCAUAGGUCAAUCUUGUGGAUCGAUGCUUUCCUUUUUAUUUCCUAUCCAACAAAGUACAUUAGGUCACUAUUUAUUUUUGAAGAUAAUUGAACUGUCAUAUAAUAAGAACUAUAAAAAGGAUAGUUGUCACCAUCUCUUUUUGAAGCCUGGCAUGGCUUUUUCUCCCGGUUGUGUGUGGAUUCUUUUGUUGCUUCACACACUCUCUGUUUUUCUCGCAUAACUUCUGCAAACAAAUUACAUGGAGACAUGUAAUGUUAGCAAACUAAUUUUGGAGUCCAGUUUGAGCAUGAGAGGAUGAGAUAAUCACCAUGUGUGAAUCCUGACACCACAUUCCAACUAGAGUCUCCCAUUGAUGCUCAUUAACACCUAUUGGAACAUUACUAAUAAUUUCCUGGAGAGACCUUUCUUUGCGUUUAAAAUAUUUGUUCUUCAAGCGAGAUUUGUAGGCUCUCCAUCUUUUGCAAACUGUCAUUAGGACCCAAUCUCGUGUAAGCUGCUUUGUCUCAGAUGGGUAGACAAAUUUCUCCUUCAAAAUAGUAAAUUUAUUUGUUUACAUGUGAAAUGACAAUAAAGAUGUAUCUGAUGAUACGUAAAAAAAAAUACUUAAGUGAUAAUGUUGCUUAAAAAUAACCUCCACAUCCGUAAUCAUGUUGUUCUUUCUUGGAACAAAUAAUUCAUUGUCCCAUCUUGGAAUGUUCAGUGGUGCUAAUGUGGAGUUC